rnacentral:rRNA from 1 species
AGUGAACGCUGGCGGUAGGCCUAACACAUGCAAGUCGAACGGCAGCACAGUAAGAGCUUGCUCUUACGGGUGGCGAGUGGCGGACGGGUGAGGAAUACAUCGGAAUCUACUUUUUCGUGGGGGAUAACGUAGGGACACUUACGCUAAUACCGCAUACGACCUACGGGUGAAAGCAGGGGAUCUUCGGACCUUGCGCGAUUGAAUGCGCCGAUGUCGGAUUAGCUAGUUGGCGGGGUAAAGGCCCACCAAGGCGACGAUCCGUAGCUGGUCUGAGAGGAUGAUCAGCCACACUAGAACUGAGACACGGUCCAGACUCCUACGGGAGGCAGCAGUGGGGAAUAUUGGACAAUGGGCGCAAGCCUGAUCCAGCCAUACCGCGUGGGUGAAGAAGGCCUUCGGGUUGUAAAGCCCUUUUGUUGGGAAAGAAAAGCAGCAGGUUAAUACCCCGCUGUUCUGACGGUACCCAAAGAAUAAGCACCGGCUAACUUCGUG